UCGAAAGAAUGUGUACAGAAGGAAUCGGUUGAAUACGAACGUUUCACCGGUGACGCGAUAUGGAAGGACAAAUUGUUUCGAGUUUCUAAUGAAAGUGGACAGUAAUUAGAGCUUGUUAUGCCUCCGUAAACAAUAGAACGGUGCAAGAAUACUCGGCCGAACGAUGUGUUGGUAGAAGAAAAAAAAUUGUUUAAAUAAAGAGGGGCACCUCACGGAAUCGCGUUUAAUUCUUUACUGAGGGGUUACGUUUGGCUUCGCACCCUCUGCACGAAAUAGGGGUAACGGGGGUGGAAGAUUGCGCAUGCGUUUCAUAGAUUCACGAAUGUUUCCGUACUGAACACACGAAAUUGUAUGUUCGGAGAGAUAUCGGUGCGUCCAGCAAGUGUAACGAGACGAAUGGAUGCGUUUCUGCAUAAGAAAGGAUCGUACUACUACGCCUAUCGUUGCAGUUAUACGGAAAUAAACGUUAGUCGGUCAAUAGGAAUAAUCGGAGGGUGCGUAAGAGUGCGAUGAAUGAAGCUUCUAAGAGGGUGAUCGACACGUACACCUAGUAGAUACGACACUUGUGACACUUGACGAAGACUUUACGGAUAUAAAUUGUCUCGCAAGCUCGAAAUUUGAAGACAUUAAUGAAUCUCAACUGGAAAAGAACGCUACUCAUAGACUAUUUUCGCAAUCAUUCGGCUUCAAGGGAAAUACAUAGUGACUGGUAGCCGAUGACUCACGAAAACUAUGACGACGGAACAUUCCAAGUAGCAUGUAAAUCAUCACGCGCACUCGUAUGUGCAUAGAUUGUCGUAAACAUAUGAAUCGCGCAACAUUUUCUUCGAGAAUAGUUUGACAUGAACCUAAUGAAAUAUGUAUAUAAAAAUAUUGAUGUAUUAACACACGGGGAUAGGUGCAUGUAUAUGUAUGUAUAGAGCGUCUCUUCCAAGUUUUAGCAACCGGCGCGCGGCGCGGCGACACGUGUAAUACGAGCCUCGCUCGUCGUUUAUCUCGCUGGCUCUCACCUCUCGGUAUAUGUAUAUACAUAUACAUUCACUUUCGUCAUUCAACUGUUGACGAGUUGCUGGAUCUCAUUGUCAUUUCGAGAUAGAGAAGUAAAGAGUUAAACAAGUUACGAAAAAUCAAGUAUAUUCUGUUCCUUUACACUUGAAAGUGUUGCCGUACCGAUAAAAACAAACCACUCGAAAUUUACGUAAUUUUAUCGAAAGUAUUUUCGAAAAAUGCAAACUACAACAAAUUACAUCAACGAUCCAUGAUUGAAAUUUCAUACAAGAUUGUUGAAAGUUCGGGAAUGUAACAAGUCCGAGUAAAUGUAGCGAAUUUUUUAGUCACAAAUGGUGUGUGAUAGCUGCAGACAAUUGAUGGUCUAUAUUUAUAAGACGCAACACAACGCUUGAAACGUUGCGCUGAUUAAGAUUCGUAUCGUGUGACGACAAUAUUCGUCUCAAGUUUCGUUUGUACCUACAUACGUAACGAAUCGUGAUAACGGUUUACCACACUGUUUGGCUAUUUUAGAUGUUUGUAACGCAAAUUCUUUAAACAUUGGAAUAAAUAUUUUCGUUUAAAUAAA